rnacentral:lncRNA from 10 species
AUUUCCUUAAAGGAGAGGCCUCCAGUGCACCUCGUCAGCUGCACUCAGCUCUUAAAUGCAGCUAUUCACAGAGGGCCCAGGCUCUCCCCUGCCCUGUGACACUACGUGGGACACACACCUCCACAGGGAAUUUGAAGAAUCUCCAGGAGGGCCAGAGAGUAGACUUGGAUGCCACCCAGCCAGCAAUAGAGAAGUUGGGACCACCCAGCCAGGGACAAGGCCACACCUCAGCCAUCACCACCCACAAGCAACGCAGCAUGUAUGAGCUGGGACAGGACACCAGAAACUACCUCAUGAUUGCUCCGGAAGAAGCAGCUGCAGGUGCUCAGCCAUCUUUAUUUCCUGCCACCCCCAAACUAUGAAGACAGCAAAGCAGCCUGUGGAGAGGCUGCUCACAGAGGCAACCCCACCCUUACUUGGUGAUGGCACGUGGAACUCCACCUCCCAGGUGGAAAAUGGAAAAAUUGUUUCCUUCUCUGAUCUACUGCCUGAGCUGUCAUCAGGAUUUUGAGGACUGACUUAAUGAAUAAAAUAUAAAGGCUUAGCGUGAGCCUGGGAUAUGCAUGGUGGAAGAGAAUAAAUAGCCUUUUGUAUAUCAAGCCUUUGGACGAACAGGUCCUAAAGA